rnacentral:rRNA from 1 species
CCAAAACCUCAGCCUUAAACUAUUGUAUAAAUUUAACUGGCUUAAAUUUUAUAGAUAAAACAUUUUGACUCCUUAAGUAAAGGUGAUUGAAAAAGCUCUAUGCGCUAUAGAAAUAGUACCGCAAGGGAAAAAUGAAAUAACAGUGAAACAAUUAAAGCUAUUUACAGCAGAGAAUUUACCUCGUACCUUUUGCAUCAUGGCCCAGCAAGACUUGUUAAGCAAAAUGGAAUUUAAGUUUUAGACCCCGAACCUAGGCGAGCUACUUUCAAAUAGCCUAUUGGGCCAACCCGUCUCUGUGGCAAUAGAGUGGGAAGAUUUUAAAGUAGAAGUGAAAAGCCUAACGAGCCUAGAGAUAGCUGGUUAUUCAUGAAAAGAAUAUGAGUUCUGCCUUAAGUUUUUCACAUGACACCAUACAAUAAUUUAAACUUAAGAGUUAUUUAAAUAAGGAACAGCUUAUUUAAGACAGGACACAACCUACGCAACAGGGUAAAGUUUUAAUUACCACCAAGUGGGCCUAAAAGCAGCCACCUUUUUAAAAGCGUUAAAGCUUAGCCUUAAUGCCUCAAAGAUACCAUAAAACUCAAUGAACCCUUAAUUCAUAAUGAAUGACUCCAUAUAAAUAUGGAAGACACCAUGCUGGGAUCAGUAACAAGAAUUGAUAAUUCUCCUAAAUGCAAACAUAAACCAACACGGAUGGACCAUUGGUAAUUACCGCACUUGAACUCACUGCAACAACACCAACAAGAAAACCCUGCAGUAUUCACUCGUUAACCUAACACUAGAGCAUUUAAGGAAAGAUUAAAAGAAAGAGAAGGAAUUCGGCAAAUAACGACCCCGCCUGUUUACCAAAAACAUCGCCUCUUGAUUCAUGAUAAGAGGUCUAGCCUGCCCAGUGAAUUUUUAACGGCCGCGGUAUCCUGACCACGCGAAGGUAGCAUAAUCACUUGUUCUUUAAAUGGGGACUUGUAUCAACGGCAUCACGAGGGUUUUACUGUCUCCUCUCUCUAAUCAGUGAAAUUGAUCUUCCCGUGAAGAAGCGGGAAUUCCUAUAUAAGACGAGAAGACCCCAUGGAGCUUCAAACCAAAUAGCAACUUAACCACAUAUCCCCUAAUAAUUUUAAGUUCAUGCCGUUAGGUUUUUGGUUGGGGUGACCGCGGAGUAAAACAUAUCCUCCACGACGAAAAGACCAUAAUCUUUAUUUAAGGGCGACAGCCCUAAAAAUUAGCACACUAACGUUUACUGACCCGAUAUUCGAUCAACGGAACAAGUUACCCUGGGGAUAACAGCGCAAUCUACUUUGAGAGCUCAUAUCGACAAGUAGGCUUACGACCUCGAUGUUGGAUCAGGGUAUCCUAGUGGUGCAGCCGCUACUAAGGGUUCGUUUGUUCAACGAUUAAAAC